GGUUGAUCCUGCCAGUAGUCAUAUGCUUGUCUCAAAGAUUAAGCCAUGCAUGUCUAAGUUCACACUGUUUCACGGUGAAACCGCGAAUGGCUCAUUAAAUCAGUCGAGGUUCCUUAGAUGACACGAUCCUACUUGGAUAACUGUGGCAAUUCUAGAGCUAAUACAUGCUUAUAAAGCUCCGACCUUCGGGAAAGAGCGCUUUUAUUAGUUCAAAACCAAUCGUCGUUCCUUCGGGGGCGGCGUACCUUCUGGUGACUCUGGAUAACUUUGUGCUGAUCGCAUGGCCUUGUGCCGGCGACGCAUCUUUCAAAUGUCUGCCCUAUCAAAUGUCGAUGGUACGUGAUAUGCCUACCAUGUUUGUAACGGGUAACGGGGAAUCAGGGUUCGAUUCCGGAGAGGGAGCAUGAGAAACGGCUACCACAUCCAAGGAAGGCAGCAGGCGCGCAACUUACCCACUCCCGGCACGGGGAGGUAGUGACGAAAAAUAACAAUACGGGACUCUUUCGAGGCCCCGUAAUUGGAAUGAGUACACUUUAAACCCUUUAACGAGGAUCUAUUGGAGGGCAAGUCUGGUGCCAGCAGCCGCGGUAAUUCCAGCUCCAAUAGCGUAUAUUAAAGUUGUUGCAGUUAAAAAGCUCGUAGUUGGAUCUCAGGUGCAGGCGGGCGGUCCGGCUCGCGCCGGUCACUGCUCGUAUCUCCUGCCCUACCGUUUGCCGGCUCUCUCCCGUGGGUGCUCUUCACUGAGCGUCCCGGGUGGCCGGUGCGUUUACUUUGAAAAAAUUAGAGUGUUCAAAGCAGGCCUCGGCAGCCUGAAUAAUGGUGCAUGGAAUAAUGGAAUAGGACCUCGGUUCUAUUUUGUUGGUUUUCGGAACGGAGGUAAUGAUUAACAGGGACAAACGGGGGCAUUCGUAUUGCGGCGUUAGAGGUGAAAUUCUUGGAUCGCCGCAAGACGAGCUACUGCGAAAGCAUUUGUCAAGAAUGUUUUCAUUAGUCAAGAACGAAAGUCAGAGGCGCGAAGACGAUCAGAUACCGUCGUAGUUCUGACCAUAAACGAUGCCAACUAGCGAUCCGCAGAAGUUGCUUUGAUGACUCUGCGGGCAGCUUCCGGGAAACCAAAGUUUUUGGGUUCCGGGGGAAGUAUGGUUGCAAAGCUGAAACUUAAAGGAAUUGACGGAAGGGCACCACC
rnacentral:rRNA from 1 species